rnacentral:rRNA from 1 species
AAUGAACGUUGGCGGCGUGGAUUAGGCAUGCAAGUCGAGCGAGAAGGUUUCUUUUGCUUGCAUCAGAAACUGGAAAGCGGCGAAAGGGAGAGUAACGCGUAGGAUACCUGCCCCCAGGUCUGGGAUAGCAGUGGGAAACCGCUGGUAAUACCGGAUGAUGUCUCCGGACCAAAGGUGUGAUUCCGCCUGGGGAUGGUCCUGCGUCCUAUUAGUUUGUUGGUGGGGUAAUGGCCUACCAAGACUUUGAUGGGUAGCGGGCGUGAGAGCGUGGCCCGUCUCACUGGGACUGAGACACUGCCCAGACACCUACGGGUGGCUGCAGUCGAGAAUCUUCCGCAAUGGGCGAAAGCCUGACGGAGCGACGCCGCGUGCGGGAUGAAGGCCUUCGGGUUGUAAACCGCUGUCAGUGGGGUGGAAAUGCAUUGGGGCUAUCCCCAGUGUUUGACCUAACCGCAGAGGAAGUCCGGGCUAAGUACGUG